rnacentral:sRNA from 1 species
CAAAGGAAUGAGACCCUCUCUCAAAAGAAAAAAAAAUUAUGUAAAUGUAACAAAGUGAUGAAGCAGGUGAAGUUGAGGCUGUCACAGGGAGGCCUUGCCCGGUGUAGGGGCAAACAAACUCCCUCUAGGUCAUGUCCUUGAGAGUUAAAAGAUGGGUUGAGUAGGCAGAGGUCUCAGGCACCGGGGACAGAAGACAAGGACAUUCAGCACGGGCAGCCAUGCUCUUCCCGGCACCCAGAAAAGGCCCAGGGUGCGGACUCCUGGGCGUGGUCAUGAGAAGCGCUUCCGAUUCAGCCUCUUCUCUUCUUGUUUCAGGACCGUGCCUCAGAGGAUGUGGAGCCAUUUCUGGAAAGUAUCAACGCAGGGACUUUUUGUGGCCAUGUUCUGGCCCCUCAUCCCUCAGUUUGUUUGCAACUGUUUGUUUUACUGGGCCCUGUACUUUAACCCAAUUAUUAACAUUGAUCUUGUGGUCAAGGAACUCCGGCGGCUGGAAACCCAGGUGUUGUGACUGGCACUGCCCAGGCUGAGACUCUUCAAGUCCCGCUGACGUCUGAGCUUUGAUGCUUAAGAGGGUGUGAACACAGCAGAUGUGAAAUGUCAUCUCGGAAGACUGGCCUUGCAGAAAUAGGCCUACAUCCAAAAUAUUCUCUUGUGACUCCAUGAACCAUUCAUUAACCCUUUGUAUCUUUGAGUGAAGAUUUUACUCAAAAGUUGCAUCUGGAAGUUUGAAUAAAUUACUUGAAAUAAAAAUAAAGAUUUUUAUACAGAUAAAA